rnacentral:misc_RNA from 1 species
AAGUCGUAACAAGGUUUCCGUAGGUGAACCUGCGGAAGGAUCAUUCUUUAUUUUUGAGACCCUUUGUAAGAGGGGUUUUAAAUGUUGUGAACUGUUUUGUUAUUGUACCUUUUAUAUAUUUUAUUUUGACUCAUUUAUGAGUAGAAAUACAAGAUGACUUUCAGCAAUGGAUCUCUUGGCUCUU